CUCCUUAUAACGAUCUCAAGGC
rnacentral:miRNA from 8 species